AAAACUUUCAACAACGGAUCUCUUGGUUCUGGCAUCGAUGAAGAACGCAGCGAAAUGCGAUAAGUAAUGUGAAUUGCAGAAUUCAGUGAACCAUCGAAUCUUUGAACGCACAUUGCGCCCGGCAGUAAUCUGCCGGGCAUGCCUGUCCGAGCGUCAUU
rnacentral:rRNA from 2 species